UACGAAGGGGGCUAGCGUUGCUCGGAAUCACUGGGCGUAAAGCGCACGUAGGCGGCUUUUAAGUCAGGGGUGAAAUCCUGGAGCUCAACUCCAGAACUGCCUUUGAUACUGAAGAUCUUGAGUUCGGGAGAGGUGAGUGGAACUGCGAGUGUAGAGGUGAAAUUCGUAGAUAUUCGCAAGAACACCAGUGGCGAAGGCGGCUCACUGGCCCGAUACUGACGCUGAGGCACGAAAGCGUGGGAGCAAACAGG
rnacentral:rRNA from 1 species